rnacentral:rRNA from 1 species
AGAUCCCUUAUAAUAAUAAAGAAAGUUAAAUUUCGCUCUUAGAAGUUUGUAUCUCGUGCGUGGUAGUAGUUAGGAUUAAAAGCCUAACUAGCUAUAUGCACGUAGUCGUAACUGAAAGGUUGAUCGACCACAGUGGGCCUGAAUAAAGCCCAUGACGAUUGUCACAGCAGUGAGGAAUAUUGGUCAAUAGCCUAACGGCUGAACCAGCAACUUGGAGGAAUGUAUAGCAAUAGCUACUUGCAUCAUUGUAGAUAUGAUGUAAGAUCGACUAUGUUGAAUAAAAUUCUAGGUAGAAUUAUGAUAAUGACAUUGUCUGCCUAUGUGUCUUGACCAAAUUACGUGCCAGCAGUCGCGGUAAUACGUAGAAGACUAGUGUUAUUCAUGUUUAAUCGGUUUAAAGGGUACCUAGACGGUAGAUCAAGCUUUCUAAUAAAUGAAAAGGACUAAUUUACUAGAGUUACUUAUGAGGGGGUAUUAAAGUACUGCUGGUGUAGAGAUGAAAUUCUGUCAUACCUCUUUUCAAAGGAAAAACCAUGGCACAGGUAUAGGCGAAGGCAUCCCCUUAUGUGAUAACUGACGUUGAGGGACGAAGGCUUUGUGUAGCGAACAGGAUUAGAUACCCCAGUAGUCGAAGCAGAAAAUGAUGAAUGUCAUAGAUUAGAUGUAUAAGUUUAUUCUAUAAAUGAAAGUGUAAGCAUUCCACCUCAUGAGUAAUUUGGCAACAUUGGAACUGAAAUCAUUAGACCGUUUCUGAAACCAGUAGUGAAGUAUGUUGUUUAAUUUGAUGAUCCGCAAAAAACCUUACCACAAUUUGAAUAUUUAUAUUUUUUUUUAUUGUUUUCUUCUCUUUUUUCUUCUGAAAAAAAAAAGAGAAGAAAAAAAUCAAAAAAGGAAGAAAAUUAAGAAAGAGGCAAUAAGAUAUAUUUACAAGCGUUGCACGGCUGUCUUCAGUUAAUGUCGCGAGACUUUGGUUAGUUCCAUUAAAUUAACGUAAACCCUUACUUUAUUUUUAUAUAGAGUAGUUCCCCGCUAUAUUGGAUAUGAUAA